rnacentral:tRNA from 1 species
ACCCAUUUGGCUCAGUGGAUAGAGCGUUGGUCUGUGGACUCAAGGGUCCCAGGUUCAAUUCCGGUCAAGGGCA